rnacentral:misc_RNA from 1 species
CAAAAUUGGUUUCUUACCAAAACACUGUGUGCACCAUAACUGUCCUUGGCAGCGUAUCUUCCACGUCACAAGUCCCGGGUAUUGUGAAUGUUUCCGAGGGGUCGGGGGCGGGAGCCCCGGGUCACGAGGGGGUCUAGGGCGGCCGUAUCUAAGAAAUUAGUACAAAAGCCCCAUGAUCAAAGGGGUCCCGGCUGUAUCCAAGAAAUUAGUACAAGUCGAGGAUCACACGUCACAACUACUCGGUACUGAGAGUUUUUCAAGGGUUCUGGGUAUCAGUAUGUAAGAGUACGAGCCCAGAUCACAUGUCACAACUACUCGGUAUUGACCUGCCGAUCGCUGCCGCAUGUCCAAACUUUGUAUUACAAAAUUAUAGUCUGAAUCAGUUCACCACAAAGUGAAAUGAAAAA